rnacentral:tRNA from 1 species
UGGUAUAGCUUGGUGGUAGAGUAUGUGCUUAGUAAGCACAUCCUUGGGUUUGAUUCCCAGUACCA